rnacentral:rRNA from 1 species
UACAGAGGGGGCAAGCGUUGUUCGGAAUUACUGGGCGUAAAGGGCGCGUAGGCGGCCUUCUAAGUCGAACGUGAAAUCCCCGGGCUCAACCCGGGAACUGCGUCCGAUACUGGAAGGCUUGGAUCCGGGAGAGGGAUGUGGAAUUCCAGGUGUAGCGGUGAAAUGCGUAGAUAUCUGGAGGAACACCGGUGGCGAAGGCGACAUCCUGGACCGGUAUUGACGCUGAGGCGCGAAAGCCAGGGGAGCAAACGGG